rnacentral:rRNA from 1 species
AUUGAACGCUGGCGGCAGGCCUAACACAUGCAAGUCGAGCGGAUGAAGGGAGCUUGCUCCUGGAUUCAGCGGCGGACGGGUGAGUAAUGCCUAGGAAUCUGCCUGGUAGCGGGGGAUAACGUCCGGAAACGGGCGCUAAUACCGCAUACGUCCUGAGGGAGAAAGUGGGGGAUCUUCGGACCUCACGCUAUCAGAUGAGCCUAGGUCGGAUUAGCUAGUUGGUGGGGUAAAGGCCUACCAAGGCGACGAUCCGUAACUGGUCUGAGAGGAUGAUCAGUCACACUGGAACUGAGACACGGUCCAGACUCCUACGGGAGGCAGCAGUGGGGAAUAUUGGACAAUGGGCGCAAGCCUGAUCCAGCCAUGCCGCGUGUGUGAAGGAGGUCUUCGGAUUGUAAAGCACUUUAAGUUGGGAGGAAGGGCAGUAAGUUAAUACCUUGCUGUUUUGACGUUACCAACAGAAUAAGCACCGGCUAACUUCGUG